AGAGUUUGAUCCUGGCUCAGGAUGAACGCUAGCGGCAGGCCUAACACAUGCAAGUCGAGGGGUAACAAUGUCUUCGGACAGGUAUGACGACCGGCGCACGGGUGAGUAACGCGUAUGCAACCUACCUCAAACAGGGGGAUAGCUCAGGGAAAUUCGGAUUAAUACUCCAUAACACUAUGAUCUGGCAUCUUAUUAAGAUUAAAGCUCCGGCGGUUAAAGAUGGGCAUGCGUAACAUUAGUUUGUUGGUGAGGUAACGGCUCACCAAGACUACGAUGUUUAGGGGGUCUGAGAGGAUGGUCCCCCACACUGGUACUGAGACACGGACCAGACUCCUACGGGAGGCAGCAGUGAGGAAUAUUGGUCAAUGGGCGCAAGCCUGAACCAGCAAUGCCGCGUGAAGGAUGACAGCGCUACGCGUUGUAAACUUCUUUUGUACAGGAAGAAACACUUCUACCGUGUAGAAGUCUGACGGUACUGUACGAAUAAGUACCGGCUAACUCCGUGCCAGCAGCCGCGGUGAUACGGAGGGUGCAAGCGUUAUCCGGAUAUAUUGGGUUUAAAGGGUGCGCAGGCGGAAUAAUAAGUCAGUGGUGAAAUCCUACAGCAUAACUGUAGAACUGCCAUUGAUACUGUUAUUCUUGAGUACAGUUGUAGUGGGCGGAAUGUGUUAUGUAGCGGUGAAAUGCAUAGAUAUGACACAGAACACCGAUCGCGAAGGCAGCUCACUAAGCUGUAACUGACGCUCAGGCACGAAAGCGUGGGGAGCAAACAGGAUUAGAUACCCUGGUAGUCCACGCCGUAAACUAUGAUUACUCGUUGUUGGCGAUACACUGUCAGCGACUGAGCGAAAGCAUUAAGUAAUCCACCUGGGGAGUACGAUCGCAAGAUUGAAACUCAAAGGAAUUGACGGGGGCCCGCACAAGCGGAGGAGCAUGUGGUUUAAUUCGAUGAUACGCGAGGAACCUUACCUGGGCUCAAACGUAGAAUGACAGUUUGUGAAAACAGAUCUCCCUUCGGGGCACAGUCUACGAGGUGCUGCAUGGUUGAGGGCAGCUCGUGCCGUGAGGUGUCGUGUUAAUUCCCAUAACGAUUGCAACCCCUAUCUUUAGUUGCCAUCAGGUAAUGCUGGGGACUCUAAAGAAACUGCCUACGCAAGUAGUGAGGAAGGUGGGGAUGACGUCAAAUCAGCACGGCCCUUACGUCCAGGGCUACACACGUGCUACAAUGGUCGAUACAGAGGGCAGCUACCAUGUGAAUGGAUGCAAAUCUCGAAAAUCGAUCUCAGUUCGGAUCGAAGUCUGCAACUCGACUUCGUGAAGUUGGAUUCGCUAGUAAUCGCAUAUCAGCCAUGAUGCGGUAAAUACGUUCCCGGGACUUGUACACACCGCCCGUCAAGCCAUGGAAGUUGGGGGUGCCUAAAGUCGAUAACCGCAAGGAAUCGCCUAGGGUAAAACCGAUAACUGGGGCUAAGUCGUAACAAGGUAGCCGUA
rnacentral:rRNA from 1 species